rnacentral:rRNA from 1 species
UACGGAGGGUGCAAGCGUUAUCCGGAUUCACUGGGUUUAAAGGGUGCGUAGGUGGGCAAGUAAGUCAGUGGUGAAAUCUCCGGGCUUAACCCGGAAACUGCCAUUGAUACUAUUUGUCUUGAAUACUGUGGAGGUCAGCGGAAUAUGUCAUGUAGCGGUGAAAUGCUUAGAUAUGACAUAGAACACCAAUUGCGAAGGCAGCUGGCUACACAAAUAUUGACACUGAGGCACGAAGCGUGGGGAUCAAACAGGA